rnacentral:rRNA from 1 species
UACAGAGGUCUCAAGCGUUGUUCGGAUUCAUUGGGCGUAAAGGGUGCGUAGGCGGCGCGGUAAGUCGGGUGUGAAAUCUCGGAGCUUAACUCCGAAACUGCAUUCGAUACUGCCGUGCUUGAGGACUGGAGAGGAGACUGGAAUUUACGGUGUAGCGGUGAAAUGCGUAGAUAUCGGAAGGAACAUCAGUGGCGAAAGCGGCUUCCUGGUCCAGCAUCGACGUCAGGCACGAAAGCGUGGGGAGCAAACAGG